rnacentral:lncRNA from 1 species
GGAAUUGUGGAAUUUUGCAGGGCCAGGGAUAAAAACUGGAAAUCUAGAGGGAGGAAUGGCUGUUUGAAGAGUCCCUACACACUGGUGUGGUGGUAGACCAGCCCAAACGGAGGACUGUGGAAGAAAUACACUGCAUAAGGUCUUCACCAAAUGGACUACAGUAGUCUUCCAAGCCAACUGAAAGUAAAGUUCUGCAUCAAAUGCUAAUUCAGAAAGGAGGAAUAUGAGGUACAGAUGAAACUGAAUUAGUUGUUUUCAAACUUAUUUUUCAGUGGUUUUAUUUUGGUAAUUAAUAUUGAAAACUGACAGAGGAAUUAGGAAACAUAAGCUGGUCACAGUCAUAUAUUUAGAUUAUUUCCAA